UUAAAUUGAAGAGUUUGAUCAUGGCUCAGAUUGAACGCUGGCGGCAGGCCUAACACAUGCAAGUCGAACGGUAACAGGAAGCAGCUUGCUGCUUUGCUGACGAGUGGCGGACGGGUGAGUAAUGUCUGGGAAACUGCCCGAUGGAGGGGGAUAACUACUGGAAACGGUAGCUAAUACCGCAUAACGUCGCAAGACCAAAGAGGGGGACCUUAGGGCCUCUUGCCAUCGGAUGUGCCCAGAUGGGAUUAGCUAGUAGGUGGGGUAAU
rnacentral:rRNA from 1 species